rnacentral:rRNA from 1 species
UACAGAGGUCUCAAGCGUUGUUCGGAUUCAUUGGGCGUAAAGGGUGCGUAGGUGGUGAUGCAAGUCUGGUGUGAAAUCUCGGAGCUCAACUCCGAAAUUGCACCGGAUACUGCGUGACUCGAGGACUGUAGAGGAGAUCGGAAUUCACGGUGUAGCAGUGAAAUGCGUAGAGAUCAUGAGGAAGACCAGUGGCGAAGGCGGGUCUCUGGACAGUUCCUGACACUGAGGCACGAAGGCCAGGGGAGCAAACGGG